CCCAACUAUCCCUAUUAAUCAUUACGUCGAUCCUAGAAACCAACAAAAUAGGGUCAAACGUCCUAUUUCAUUAUUCCAUGCUAAUGUAUUCAAGCUAGCGCUUGCUUUAAACACUCUAAUUUUUUCAAAGUAACAGUCCUGAUUUCCCACGACACCAAAUUAAUGACAUCGUGGUUCGUCAGAAGGGAGAAACCAACUAGACCAGUACACACCAAAGGCGCGACCAAUCUGUUAGUCCCGAAAUUCAACUACGAGCUUUUUAACUGCAACAACUUUAAUAUACGCUAUUGGAGCUGGAAUUACCGCGGCUGCUGGCACCAGACUUGCCCUCCAA
rnacentral:misc_RNA from 1 species